AACGAACGCUGGCGGCAGGCCUAACACAUGCAAGUCGAACGCUGCAGUAAUGCAGAGUGGCAGACGGGUGAGUAACGCGUGGGAACCUUCCCAAUGGUACGGAAUAGCCCAGGGAAACUUGGGGUAAUACCGUAUAAGCCCCAUGGGGGAAAGAUUUAUCGCCAUUGGAUGGGCCCGCGUCGGAUUAGCUAGUUGGUGAGGUAACGGCUCACCAAGGCGACGAUCCGUAGCUGGUUUGAGAGAAUGACCAGCCACACUGGGACUGAGACACGGCCCAGACUCCUACGGGGGGCAGCAGUGGGGAACCUUGGACAAUGGGCGAAAGCUUGAUCCAGCCAUGCCGCGUGAGUGACGAAGGCCUUAGGGUUGUAAAGCUCUUUUGGCGGGGACGAUAAUGACGGUACCCGCAGAAUAAGUCCCGGCUAACUUCGUGCCAGCCGCCGCAGUAA
rnacentral:rRNA from 1 species